rnacentral:rRNA from 1 species
GACAGAGGAGCCAAGCGUUGUCCGGAUUGACUGGGCGUAAAGCGCACGCAGGCGGUUGUGCGCGUGGGGUGUGAAAUCUGGCCGCUUAACGGCCAGGCGCCAUCCCAUACGGCGCGACUGGAGUGAUGCAGAGGUCGAUGGAAUUGCCGGUGUAGUGGUGAAAUGCGUGAGAGAUCGGGGGAACGACCCGUGGCGAAGGCGGCCGGCUGGGCCGUUCCUGCGCGAGGCGCGGAAGGCGUGGGGAGCGAACGGG